AUACAGAGGGUGCGAGCGUUAAUCGGAAUUACUGGGCGUAAAGCGCGCGUAGGCGGCUUAUUAAGUCAGAUGUGAAAUCCCCGGGCUCAACCUGGGAACUACAUCUGAUACUGGUAAGCUAGAGUUUUGGAGAGGGAAGUAGAAUUUCAGGUGUAGCGGUGAAAUGCAUAGAGAUCUGAAGGAAUACCAGUGGCGAAGGCGACUUCCUGGCCAAAAACUGACGCUGAGGUGCGAAAGCGUGGGUAGCAAACGGGAUUAGAAACCCUAGUAGUCC
rnacentral:rRNA from 1 species